AAAAAUUUGGAUUUUAGAGAAAAAAGGGUUAGACUUGGAGCUAUUGACACGCAAGGAACCAUGCAUAUGAUUUGACUUCAAUACAAGAACUUGCAAAAAUGGAAGACUGCCCAACCAAUGAGGAAAUGUAUCAUUGAUCUUGUUGUUACCAAGAUCUAGCACUUCCAGACCUCUACAAUUAAGGAUGGAUGGUAUCAAUGGCCCUUCUAACAGAUUUCCAUUUAAGUUGAAAUUAGUCAAUCGGCAUCCCAGUGCAAAUUUUGGAGGAAUCGUCCCAUAGAACUUGUUCUUCUUCAGAUUCAAGAAUUCAAGGCUGUUGCUCAAAUUUCCAAAACAUCGCGGAAUUGUUCCACUCAAGUUAUUGUGGGACAAAUCAAGAACUCGAAGAGAAGUGGCAUUGCAGAUUAAAGAAGAGACCUCUCCAUUGAAACUAUUAUUUGAGAUCAAAAAGAAAUUGAUGGUCGAAGCUGGAAUCGGAAGAUUUCCGCUGAUCAAAUUGGAGCUUAAGUCAAGAACUUCAAUAUUCUUCCAUAGAAAGUGCUCAACUUCUGUCAAAGAGUUGUGAGAUACGUUUAAGUAAGUCAAAGAGCCAUUCCCCACCUCUUGCAUCCACUGUGGAAUCUUGCCUUCAAUUUUGUUGCAAGAGAGGUCUAAGCUUUCCAAACUUUUAAGCCCUUUUAAAAAUUGGGGGAAUUCACUAAGAUUGCAAGAUGACAAAAGUAAGUCUGUAACAUUAGGCAAUAUAUGAUUAACACUAGAUGUAGUAUUAGAUGUUAAGGAUAGGCUGUUAUAUGAAAGGUCGAGAUGUUUUAGAUUUGGAAGGUUUGAGAACAUGCGAAACUCUAUGACACCACUAAGAUUAUUUGAGGAUAAAAGGAGCCAGGUAAGAUUGAGAAGUUGGAAUAUUGAAGAUGGAAGGGGACCUUGGAGUUUAUUAUUUUCUAGAUCUAAAUAUUCUAGUGAUUUGGUUUGGAAUUCUUUGAUAUGCCCACUGAAUUGAUUUUGAGAGAGAAUUAUACCCUUUAAGGAGGGAGCAGUAUACAACCAUGACGGAAGUGUUCCAUUGAGUAAAUUGUCAUAUAAGACUAAAUAUAUUAGAUUCGGAACAGCGGUUACCUCAUCUGGAAUAGAACCUUCUAAAGAAUUUUCAGAUAUUUCCAAGUAUUCCAACUGCGUUAGGUUUAGAAUUGACAAUGGAAUUUGUCCACUCAAUUUAUUUGAUCCCAAGUCUAAAUGAGUGAGUUGCAAGAGGUUUCCAAGUGAUCUUGGAACCGGUCCUGAUAAGUUGGAAUAGGAGAGAUCUAAAAACUUCAAGGACACAAGAUUCCCCAUCGAGUCAGGCAAUCCUCCAAAAAAAUUUGCGCCUCUAAGAAUCAAGUACUCCAAAGAUGAUAAAUUUGUGAUUGAGACAGACAAUCCUUGAAAGAAAGAAAUUCCUGAUAGAUCUAAGUACUUUAAGGCCCGUAGAUUAUCAACCGAAUCAAUGAAUUCUGUAGAGAAGGACAUCCUCGACAGAUCCAAAUGUUCGAGAUUGCUGCUCCGGUUCAACUUCAAAGGAUCAAGAUUGAGGUUUUGGUUGCCUCCCAAGUUGAGGAGAUUGAGGUUUGGCAAAUCAAAAAUGUUUUUUGGGAAUUUUCCUUGCAAAUCACAACCAGCAAGACUGAGAGACCUUAGAGAAGAGGAUAGAUUCAUGAAGACAUGAGCAUUAACAUAAGACAUGUCCAUUCCACCCAAAAAUAGAUGUCUGACAUCGGUUAGGUUGUGAACAAGUCCCUCCAGAGCAUGUUUGUCAAUUGUUUGUUCACCAAACACAGAGGAGGAGAGAUCAAGUGAAACCAAUUUUGACAGGUGGGAGACUUGGGAUGGGACUUCUCCUGCAAACCCUGUAUAAGAAAGGUUGAGGUAGAAUAGGCUAGUAAACCGACCGAACUCGGAUGGAAUUUUGGAAAGAUUAAAAUCAUUGUAGGCAAGGUUGAGUUUUUGAAGGUGAGGAAGAAGGAAGAGAGUGGUAUUGGAAGGGAAGUUGCCAUAUAGCCAACUGCAGCUCAAGUCAAGGGCAAUAACAUGAGCAUUUAGGUGGUCACAAGUGACCCCAUCCCAUGAGCAGCAAUCUGUACCCUCCUUCCAUGAAUUUGUCUUGGGAUAAGAUUUAAGGCCAGCAUAAUCAUUGCAAUAAGAAGAAACAUCCUCUGUUACGGAAAAAGAGUCCUUAAACUGGAUUAGGGAAGAGCAGGAGUGAGAUCCUGAAGAAGAAAAAGAAGCAUAAAGAUGGGGAAAGAAGAGGAAUAGGCAGAGAAAGAGAUAGGGGGCCAUGUUAUGUUUGUAGAGAAAGAAGAAGGAUAGGAAUGGUAUUUGUAGGCAACAAAUAGUACCACAACAUUGGUGUUACAGUAUUUUUUUUUUCUUUUACAUUGAAAAGCUAUGGAUAUUAGAUUUUCAAAAAUUUUGUAUUUUUCACCAUCAUCAACAACCACUUAGUCUUCUUUUUACCAUAUAUUUUUCAUUCUAUUUUUUUAACAAAAUCUUGUAUUUCAUUUCAGCUUUCAAAACAACUAAAAAAUUUAAAAUUGAUGAAAUUACAAAGUAGAUUGACUUAGUCUUCUUUCCUAUAACAUUUAAAAGAAUAUCUUGUCAACCAAAGUUAAUUAAUGUGAAAAUUCUUUUUCACACAAAAGAACAAAAUUGUGCUCUAUUCACUAAGUUAGAGGAAAAAGACUGCUAGAUUUUUUAAUUAUUUUUUCUUUGAAAAAUUUGAAAGUUUUUUACUGCCUUUAAGCCAAUAAAAAAAACAUGUAUUAAUUUUGUUUUUAAAAAUAGUGUGUUUGAUUGUGAAAUGAUUCAUCAUCCUCCACCACAAACUAUCCAUAUUUGCAGUGUGAAAGCAGCUACUUUCAUAAAGAAAUUACUUAGGAGAUGGGAUCCACCAAUUUUACCUAAACUCGCAUCAACAUUGUUUAGCAAUUUCAAAAUAGACUAAUUAGUCUGGUUCAAAUACCAAGACUACAAUAUCUAUUCACUUCACUUGGUCUUGCUUCCUAUCGCUGUCAGCCAAACUUGAUCGACUAGCAGUAAGGAAAUUUCAGUCAUUUGCAGCAUAAUGUACAAGAAUUCCACUCCCGCAAAAUAAUUUACAAUAUGGACUAACACACUAAAAAUGAUUUUUAAAAAAUGAUUUUUAGAAAGUAAUUUUUGAAAAAUGGUUAGAAGAUAAUUUUUGUUUCUGAAAUAGUUAAUUUUUUUUGGUGUUUAGAUAAAUUUUGUUAUGUUUUCAUUGUUUACUUGAGUUUAUUUCAUAAAGCUUAUGUAUAUAUUUUAAUUAAUCAUGUUUUAGUUUUAAUUAAUCUUAAUUUACUUAAUUAAGCUUAAUUGUUAACUUCGUACAUUAGAAUAUAAAUUUAUGUUUAAUUAAGUUGAAAGUGAUAAAUAUUUAUUUUGAAUAUUAUUUGGAUAAGUUGAAAAAUGAUUUAAUUUGAUAAAAUUGAAGUCAGGGUCAUAGAACUAUGCUUUUUACUGACAAAAUCUUAGAUGCAGUGAUUAUUGAGACUAAAAAAUGAAAGUCAUGAAAGAAGACAUAAAUAGUUGAACCAUACAAAAUGUUACAUUUUGUAAUGCAAUGAAAUAUAGAUGAAUUGUUACAAAUAUAAAGACAGAUGCAUUGCAAUGCAACCUUUCUCCAUAGGAAAAAAAAUUUGACAGACUUCAAAACAAGAAAUUAUGAAGAUACAACAUACACACUUGAACAUCAUUUCCACUAACUAGAUCCUUCUUCGUCCAUUGCUGCGACUGCCAUCCUUUGACUUUCUUCUUCGCUACUUCUCAUGUUGGAUUCAACCAAAUUCACCAACCAUUUUGGCUUACUAAUUUGGAAAACAACAUAUCCCACGACCAUUCCAAACACUACUCCGCAUCCAUAACCUAUCAACACCAAUUUCCAACCAAAAGAGAUGUUUGAUUUUGAACCAUCUUUUCCAAGCACAUUUGGAGGUGGUGGCUCAAUGAUGUUGCAACCUUUUGAGACCGGAAAUCCACAUAAUCCCUUGUUUCCUUCAUAUGAAUCAUUUCCAUAUGUGUUGAACUGUUUGCCUUGAGGAAUCUGACCAUGGAGUUGAUUUUCAGAAACAUUGAAGGACGAAAGAAAUGCCAGAUCUGCAAAUCUAUUUCGAAUUGUCCCUGACAACCUGUUUGAAUAUAGGUCCAACCAUUCAAGACUCGUCAAAUUCCCUAUUGAAGUGGGGAUACCACCGUUAUAAACACUGUCAUAUGGCAUGAAUAACAUACUCAUAUAUUUACUGUCACAUGGCAUGAAAAACACACCCUCAUAUUCACUUUCACAUUAGUCAUCAUAAGCUUAUAACAUAUGUCAUAGCAAUCUCAUAUAUAUUCAUAAUUUCACAAUUUCACAAGCGUACAUAUAUCACAUUUAAUCAUAUGCGCGAGAAAACUUACUCUCACUUACUCUUGGAAUUUAGAGUAGGAAUUUAGGCUACCACUAAAUUCUCAUCAAUUAAACAAUGAAUCAUCUACGAGCAACAAUUUCAAACCACAAUGAAUCGAGAGCUCAAACUAGCUCUUCCUCUAACUCGUAGAAGGCUUUAAUGAAUCCGAGGCUUCACACAUGACAAUCACACAAUACUCACAGUCAAAUGACAGCCAAGGACCCACUUAAACUAACCAAAAUAAAAGCCUAAGCUACCUUCUAAUGUAACCAAACCCUUUAGCAUGACGAACUUAAAAUGCAAAUAUAUCAAUCUACACUUAAACAUUUUCACAUGAAACAAGUUUCAGUCAUCCCCCAUAUUCAUUUAUAGCUAAACUCCAAUCUUUAAACCACACAAAACUACAAGUUUCAAGGUAUAACAUUUUUCCACAAAUUUUGACCAUAAUAAUGAAAAUUCAUUAAAACACGGGAAAUCUAUAAUGAAACUUAGAAGUAAUUUUAAAAAACUUCUAAUUAAGUUAAAACAAGUUGAAAAACACUUUUAAAUCACUUUUUCAUCCACAAUCUCGAAUUCCACCAUUAAUGACCCAAUUUUUAGGUUUAAAUUAAAACAUGCAAUUUCAUAACUAAAAUCUCAAUUUUAAAGUCUAGAUAACAUUAAAAACUAAUGAGAAAGUAAAUGGUUACCUUUGAUGAAAGAUUAAACGAGUUUUGAAGUAAAUUUGAAAAACCCACAAUUGAAGAAGAAGAUGAAAUCUAUGGCGUUUUUGAGUGUUUUUCUUGGAAUUAUAAGAAAUCAAAGUACUAUUGUUUGGGAAUAAAAAUUAAUUGAAAGAUCAAGGGAAUAGCAAAGGACGGCAAUAGCAAACUUUGGAGAGUAACUAUUGUGAAAUAGAACAGGGAAUGGGGUUUAUUAGGUUCAAUUUAAAACAUUGGUAAAACUUCAAUCUAAGUGCUCACUAUUUUAACUUUGUUACAAAUUAGUUCUUUUUCUAAAUUUUAGGUAUUUAAAACUCAUUUUCAGAAAUCGGCUCAAUUCCCUAAUAGCCAUUGUCGAAAACAUUAUUGAAUACUAACCUUACGAAAUUUUGAUUACAUAUAGGCUAAAAUUCCUAAAAAAAAAUUGAAACUCUUAGAUCCUAUUUUGGGGUGUUCACGUAUGGUCAUGAUUCAUGUUGAAUUAAUACAUCAUUCACCGUAAUAAGGCUUAUCGUUGUAAUAAUUAGUUAAAUCACCUAAUAUCUAAAAAAUUAUUAUUAUUUUCAUAAAAUCAUUGAUCAAAUUAUUGUUUUCAAAUUUCAUACAUAAAAUUAACAAAUAAAGAUAGCUCUAAAUAGCAAAACCCAAUAUGUGUAACAAGUAUUUUUAUUAAUCCAUUUGGAAUGUUAAGGUUUGCUGGAGCAAAUAAAUUGAUUAAUGCUUUGAACUUUCCAAACACUUUUUAUAGUUUUGUUAUAUGCAUUUUGUAUAAUUAGUAUAUUUGAAUAUAUUAGAUACAUCGUCUAAAACAAUGCCAAUUGUAAUUUUUUUAUAUUUUGUUGAUCAUAAGCGUAUUAUAUAAAUAAUUUAAAAAAAAAAAGAUGGAGUGAUACAUUUAUGUAGUGCUUAUGAAUAUAAUGUUGGAUUAAAAUCCUUAAUUAUGAGUACAUAUGUAUAUGCUUGAUAUUACAAUUAUCUUAAUAAUUUUGUUUCUGUUCUUGUUGAUUGAUGAUUAUAGAAAUCAUUAUUCUUCUGAAGGCAUACUUUGUUGUCAAUGACAGUACCUGCACCCUAAAAAAGUCACCAGCUUUAACGACUACAAAAGUUGUCCUGCCUGAUAUUUAUUAAAAAAUCACCAGGAAGCACAUUGUCAGGACAUCCUUGCUGGAAAAAAACUUGGUAGGAUGGUUUUUCUGUGCAAACUUAGUAAUUAAUUUAUGUUGUUUUUACCAAACUUUGUAGCGUUUCACUUUUGGUAAAAUUUCAUCCUUGGUCCCUUUAAACUCCUUUUUGCUUUAAUUUGAUUGCUUUCUAGCGUUGCAAAUUACAUAACACUCUUCAAAUGUCUUAUUAAAUUCUCACUUUUACGAGUGCUAUGUUAAUCAAUUUUAAGUUCCAUAUAACACUUACAUGGCUACAAAAUGUGUGUGUGUGUAAGUGUCCUCAACCACAAACAAUCCAAAUUUGCUGAGAAACCACCCAUUAUAUAUAGGUUUGCCAAUGAGAUGGCAAGCAGACUGCUAGCUAGAAAUUCAUGCAUCUUUGAAUCACCAAUUCAAUUAAUAAGCUUAACUAGAGGAAAUAAGGACUUUACACCACCAAUUAAAGCAACCUAUAUGUACCCUUUUACAGUCUGCAUUGUUCCAUGUUUCCAUUCAUUACAUCAUUCCUUCAACUCUGCUAUAUAUUAUUACCGUCUCCAGAAAACCAAACCUUUUACUGCUAACUUGUAAAAAAAUUAUGAAAAUACAACAGAGAUCAUUGAGACAUUGUUGAAGUUGGCUUGCAUGCAGACCAAGAAGCACACCAAGCUGUCCGAGAUAUGCAAGUUGCAGCUGAAGCUUAUGCUGCUGUUUUGUUACUUUCAAAUAGAUAUUUUAUUAUUUACUUAGAUAUGAACUAAGUUGCUGAUAUGCUUGAUGUAAUUAGGAGCUGAUAGAUUGAUAAAUCAGCUUUACCAAGUGUACAAGCAAUGUUUAUCAAGUUACUAAGCCACUUAGUGGAGUUAGGUAUGUGUUUAGGUAACAUUUUCUUAUUUUUGACCAGCUGAUUGCUUGCUAUAUGUAAUGGCAUUGUGCCUUCAUUCAAAUGUAAAGAAAUCUUUCAGAAAAUUCUUCUUCAUUUGGUCUUUACCUAAGCAUUUUUUUUCACGAAGCUCUUGCUGUUUUUGUUUUGUUUGUUGAGCAAGAUAACAAUGCUUUAUGCUUAAGUUUCUGUCAAAAUUUCUCAUUCUGUUUUCUUAGUUCCUACAGACAUUUUGUUCUCCUUUCUCCUUUACUGAGCAGUAGCAAAGAUUAUCGAGACUAAAUUGAAAUCCAUGAAAGAAGACAUAAACAACACCACCAUACAAAAUGUCACACUCAAACAAACCAUUACAGAUACGAAAUGCAAUGAAAGACAGAGGAAUUGGUACAAUAAUAAAGACAGCCAGAUACCAAUGCAACCCUUCACCAUAGGCAAAACGGUCUACAAACAAGAAAUUAUGAAAAAUACAACACUAAUUCUUGAACAUCAUUUGCAGUAAUUAAAUCCUUCUUCGUCUACUGCUGUGAUUGCCUUUCUUUGACUUUCUUCUUCGCCUCUUCUCAUGUUGGUUUUCAACCAAAUUCACCAACCAUUUUGGCUUACCAGUUUGGAAAACAACAUAUCCCACGGACAUUCCGAACACUACUCCGCAUCCAUAACCUAUCAACACCACUUUCCAACCAAAAGCAAUGUUUGAUUUUGAGCCAUCUUUUUCAAGCACAUUUGGAGGUGCUGGAUCAAUGAUGUUGCAACCUUUCGAGACCGGAAACCCACACAGUCCCUUAUUUCCUUCAUAUGAAUCAUUUCCAAAUGUGUUGAAUUGUUUGCCUUGAGGAAUCUGACCAUGGAGUUGAUUUUCAGAAACAUUGAAGGACGAAAGAAAUGGCAGAUCUGCCAAUCUAUUUGGAAUCGUCCCAGACAACCUGUUUGAAGAUAGGUCCAACCAUUCAAGACUUGUCAAAUUCCCUAUUGAGGUGGGGAUAUCACCAAUAAGGUUAUUAUGAGAAAGGUUGAGCCCUUUCAGUAAGUUAAGCUUCCCAAUAACCUUUGGAAUACCCCUUUCAAACUGAUUGUUUGAUAGAUCAAUGAUCAUCCACAUGGUGAAAAUUUUCACCAAUUCCCUAUCUUGUCCUUUCAUAACAAUUCCAAUGGAAUAGGUAUAGAAGCCAACUCCAUAAUCAUGCACCCCCAUGUAUGACACUGUACUACCAAUCUUCUCUAGAUUUAUGAUAGCCUUGAAGCUGUUGAUGUAUCUCACUGGUAGGGGUCCAGAAAAAUAAUUACUUGAGAGAUCAAAAAUUUGGAUUUUAGAGAAAAAAGGGAUAGACUUGGAGCUAUUGACACAUAAGGAACCAUGCAGUUGAUUUGACUUCAAUACAAGAACUUGUAGCUGUGGAAGACUUCCCAACCAGUGAGGAAAUGUAUCAUUGAUCUUGUUGUUACCAAGAUCUAGCACUUCCAGACCUCUACAAUUAAGGAUGGAUGGUGUCAAAGGCCCUUCUAACAGAUUUCCAUUUAAGUUGAAAUUACUCAAUCGGCAUCCCUUUGCAAAUGCUGGAGGAAUCGUCCCAUAAUACUUGUUCUUCUUCAGAUUCAAGAAUAGAAGGCUGUUGCUCAAAUUUCCAAAACAUUGUGGAAUUGUUCCACUCAAGUUAUUGUGGGACAAAUCAAGAAUUUCAAGAAAAGCGGCAUUGCAUAUUAAAGAAGAGACCUCUCCAUUGAAACUAUUAUUUGAGAUCAAAAAGACUCUUAUGGUCGAAGCUGGAAUCGGAAGAUUUCCACUGAUCAAAUUGGAGCUUAAGUCAAGAACAUCAAUAUUCUUCCAUGGAAAGUGCUCAACUUCUGUCAAAGUGUUGUGAGAUACAUUUAAGUGAGUCAAAGAGCCAUUCCCCACCUCUCGCAUCCACUGUGGAAUCUUGCCUUCAAUUUUGUUGCAAGAGAGGUGUUGAAGUAAUGGUCAGCAUGCAGCAACCAAGACUGUCAAAGGCACUACAUGCAGAAGCUGCUGGUUCACCUAGUCAGCAAGCUGUUUAUGUUUCAUUUUGUAAUUUUAAGUUAGAGUAAUGUAACUUAGUUGCUUUAUAACUAUGUUAGGUUUAUGUUUGAUGUAAUUUUGAUGUUGACUGAGCUGAUAAAUCAGCUUUGUUUGUUUAUUCAAGCUAAUUAGCACAAGUUACUAUGUGUAUUAGUGGUAGUAGGUGAAGUUUAGGUCAACCUACUGUUUUGUCAAGAUUGUAAACUUGUUUUAUGUAUUGGCUUUGUGCCAUAUUUAGUUUGAUGAAUGAAUUCAAGAAGUUAUCAUCCAUAUGCUCUCCAUUUUUAGUUUUGCUUAAAAAUCCAUUUGAGUUUUCUGCUUUGUUUCUCCUACAAGUCACGAGACUUGCCAUACAAGCAUUCUGCUGAAGCUUGCUGCUGCUGCCUCUUGCACCAACAAUUGGUAUCUAGAGCCACAUUCUUAGAGGACCUGUUGUAGUUCAGUAUCAAAACGAUGGCAUCAUCAGGUUUUUCACCAGCUUCACCACCUGUCUUCAAUGGAGAGGGCUUCAACAUUUGGGCAGUUAAGAUGAGGACUUACCUGCAGGCAUUCGACCUAUGGGAAGUUGUUAACUCAGAUGCUGAGCCAGCACCUCUUCGAGCUAAUCCAACAGUUGCUCAAAUAAGGCAACACACUGAUGAAAGGACAAAAAGGCACAAGGCCAUGUCAUGCAUACAGAAUUGUGUGACAGAUGUGAUCUUUAUGAGGAUCAUGGCCUGUGAGACACCAAAGGAGGCUUGGGACAAGCUGAAAGAAGAAUUUCAGGGGACUGAGAAAACAAGGCAACAACAGCUGCUCAAUUUGAGAAGAGAUUUCGAAAAUCUCAAAAUGAAAGAGGAAGAAACAGUUAAGCAGUACUCAGACCGGAUUAUGGCUGUUGUAAACAGCAUAAGGCUCCUAGGAGAGCAAUUCAGUGAAGCUAGAAUGGUUGAGAAAGUCAUGUCCACUCUACCAGAGAGGUAUGAAGCUAAAAUUUCAUCCCUCGAAGACUCAAGGGACUUGACAACUAUCUCCUUAACUGAGCUAAUCAAUGCCUUGUAUGCAUAAGAGCAAAGAAGAGCUAGCAGACAAGAGGAGCACCAGGAAGGGGCUUUUCAAGCCAAAGAAGCCUCGAGCAUCAAAACUCAUAAAGGCAAAAAGUUCUGGAAAAACAAGCCUAAGCCUGAUGCUGCUAGGAGCAGUGACCAACUCUGCAGACAUUGUAAAAGAGCUGGUCAUCCAGAAGAUAGAUGCUGGUUUAGACCAGAUGCAGUAUGCCAAAACUGCAAGAAAAAAGGCCAUGUUGAAAAAGUUUGCAAGAAUAGAAGCAAACCAAGACAGAAUCAAUUUCAGCAACAAAAGGUGGAAGCUCGAGUAGCUGAAGAAAGUAGUGAUCAAGAAGAACAUGUUUUUGCUGUGUCAUGUGCAGCAAAUCAGAAGAAGGGUUCAAAGGGCUGGCUUCUAGACAGUGGGUGCACAAACCACAUGUCACCAGAUGCAACUAUCUUCAAAACCCUGGACAGAACCUGCAAAACCAAAGUAAAAAUUGGAAAUGGUCAGUUAAUCAAUGCUGAAGGAAGAGGAGAUGUGCUGAUUCAUACUUCUACAGGUGGCAAAAUCAUUUCAAAUGUACUUUUGGUACCUGAAAUCGAUAGGAACCUUCUCAGUAUAACUCAACUACUUGAGAAAGGUUACUCAGUUGUUUUCAAGGAGAAAGAAUGUCAAAUUUUUGAUCCAAGUGGAUCAAAUCUUAUAACAGUCACCAUGACUGAUAAAUGUUUUGAAGUAGACUGGCCAAAUGACUCACAUUCAGCCUGCAUAGCCUCCACUAAUGACUCGAGACUCUGGCAUCAGAGGCUUGGACAUGCAAACUACAAAUCCAUAGCCCGCAUGGUCAAUGAAGGUCUGGCAGAAAAUUUCAUUGAUUCAGUGAAGAAUGAUGAGCUUUGUGAGAUAUGUCAGCAAGGAAAAUUGGCAAGAUUGCCAUUUCCAACAAGCACAACAUGGAGAGCAUCAGAGAAGCUCCAGCUUGUGCAUACAGAUGUGUGUGGACCAAUGAAGACUGAGUCUCUCAAAGGAAGCAGGUACUUUAUUUUAUUUAUUGAUGACUUAACAAGAUACUGCUGGAUUUAUUUUCUAAAACAGAAAUCAGAAGUACCAUCUAUGUUCCUGAAGUAUAAGGCUGCUGUUGAAACUGAGUCUGGUUGCAAACUUAGAGCAAUGAGGUCAGAUAAUGGAACUGAGUACACCUCAGCUCAGUUCCAAGUCUACUGUGAAGAAGCAGGUAUCAAACACCAGUUGACUAAUGUGUAUACACCCCAACAGAAUGGGGUCAGUGAAAGGAAAAACAGAAGCUUGAUGAACAUGGCAAGAUGUCUUCUGUUUGAGAAGAAUUUGCCCAAAAGUCUGUGGGCUGAAGCUGUUAACACAGCAGUUUAUCUCUAAAAUAGGCUCCCAACCAAGGCUCUGGCUGAGAAGACUCCAUUUGAAGCCUGGUUUGGGUUUAAGCCAUCACUGGCUCAUCUCAGAACCUUUGGUUGUCUGUGCUAUACUCAAGUUCCAGCUGAGAAGAGAAGCAAGCUAGACAAAAGAGCUCAAGCAGGGAUCCUGAUCGGCUACAGCUUGGUUAAGAAGGGCUACAGAAUUCUAGAACCUGCUACAAACAAGAUAUUGGUUAGCAGGGAUGUUGUUUUCAAUGAAAAAGGACACUGGAAUUGGGAGAAGGCUGAACCAGAGGCAGUGGCUGAAGAUCUGGCAGUGGACCAAGUUGAAAAUGGUGAAAACACACCUGAAAUGGAUGUAGAUGAUGUUCCAAUCAGAGGCACUCGAUCACUGGCUGAUGUUUAUGAAAGAGCACAAGUGGCUACUGUUGAACCAAAUUGCUUUGAAGAAGCAGAAAACCAGGAGGACUGGAAGCAAGCAAUGAUUGAAGAAAUCAGAAUGAUUGAAAAGAAUCAGACCUGGAGUCUGGUUGAUAAACCAACAAACAGGAAGAUUAUUGGUGUCAAAUGGGUUUAUCGAGUAAAGAACAAUGCUGAUGGUAGCCUAAACAAGUUAAAGGCUAGAUUGGUUGUGAAAGGCUUCAGUCAAAGGUAUGGAUCAGACUACCUGGAAACCUUUGCACCAGUGGCCAGGUUAGACACUAUUAGACUGCUAGUUGCCUUAGCAGCACAAAAACAGUGGCUGAUACACCAACUUGAUGUAAAAUCAGCAUUUCUGAAUGGAUUCCUUGAAGAGGAGAUUUAUGUGGAGCAACCUCAAGGUUUCAAGGUGUCUGGCAAAGAAGAUAUGGUGUACAAGCUCAACAAAGCCUUGUAUGGCUUGAAACAGGCUCCAAGGGCCUGGUAUAGCAGAAUAGAUGGCUAUCUGACCAGUCAAGGAUUUGAAAGAAGUCUUAGCGAGCCAACUCUGUAUGUUAAAUCAACUAGUGCUGAAACUCAGCUCAUUGUCUCAAUAUAUGUCGAUGACCUACUGGUGACAGGAGGAGAUCAUGAGAUGCUAAGCAGUUUUAAAGUCAAAAUGCAACAGCACUUUGAAAUGUCAGACUUGGGAUUGAUGUCUUACUUCUUAGGCAUGGAAGUAACUCAAGCUAAGAAUGGGAUUUGGCUAAGUCAAAAGACCUUUGCUAUGAAGGUUCUCAACAAAUUCUCAAUGGAGAAUUGCAAAGCAACCAGCACACCAGUUGCUGUUGGAGAAAAACUCUCGAGCCAAGACAAGCAUGAAAAGGUUUGUGAAACAACCUAUCGAAGUCUAGUUAGAUGUUUGUUGUAUUUGACUGCUACUAGACCUGACAUAAUGUAUGCUGUGAGUCUACUCUCGAGGUUUAUGCAUUCUUCAAAUGAAAGUCAUUUUAGAGCUGCAAAAAGGGUUCUAAGAUACAUCAAAGGAACUUUGUCCUAUGGAAUGCAGUUUACCAAGGCUGAGAACUUGAGGCUAGUUGGAUAUUGUGACAGUGAUUGGGCUGGUUCUUUGGAUGACAUGAAGAGCACUACAGGUUAUGCAUUCAACAUAGGCUCUGCUAUGAUAUGCUGGAGCUCAAAGAAGCAAGGAGUAGUGGCUCAGUCGACUGCAGAAGCAGAAUAUGUGGCUGCUGCUGCAGCAGUCAAUCAAGCCAUAUGGCUUAGAAAAAUUUUGAAAGAUAUCAAUCAUGAGCAAAAGGAAGCAACUGAGAUAAUGUCUGACAACCAAUCAGCAGUUGCUAUUGCAAAGAAUCCUGUUUUUCAUGGAAGGACCAAGCACUUCAACAUCAAACUUCAUGCAGUUCGGGAAAUGGAACAAGCUCAUGUUGUUAAGCUGAUACAUUGCAGUUCUGAAGAGCAAAUUACUGAUAUUUUAACAAAAGCACUAAGUGUUUCCAAGUUUCAACACCUGAGAGCUAAUAUGGGAGUUUGCAACAUGCUAACCAAGGAGGAGUGUUGAAGUAAUGGUCAGCAUGCAGCAACCAAGACUGUCAAAGGCACUACAUGCAGAAGCUGCUGGUUCACCUAGUCAGCAAGCUGUUUAUGUUUCAUUUUGUAAUUUUAAGUUAGAGUAAUGUAACUUAGUUGCUUUAUAACUAUGUUAGGUUUAUGUUUGAUGUAAUUUUGAUGUUGACUGAGCUGAUAAAUCAGCUUUGUUUGUUUAUUCAAGCUAAUUAGCACAAGUUACUAUGUGUAUUAGUGGUAGUAGGUGAAGUUUAGGUCAACCUACUGUUUUGUCAAGAUUGUAAACUUGUUUUAUGUAUUGGCUUUGUGCCAUAUUUAGUUUGAUGAAUGAAUUCAAGAAGUUAUCAUCCAUAUGCUCUCCAUUUUUAGUUUUGCUUAAAAAUCCAUUUGAGUUUUCUGCUUUGUUUCUCCUACAAGUCACGAGACUUGCCAUACAAGCAUUCUGCUGAAGCUUGCUGCUGCUGCCUCUUGCACCAACAAGAGGUCUAAGCUUUCCAAACUUUUAAGCCCUUUUAAAAAUUGGGGGAAUUCACUAAGAUUGCAAGAUGACAAAAAUAAGCUUGUAAGAUUAACAGUAGAAGUUGUAUUAGAUGUUAAGGAUAGGCUGUUAUAUGAAAGGUCAAGAUAUUCGAGAUUUGGAAGGUUUGAGAACAUGCGAAACUCUAUGACACCACUAAGAUAAUUUGAGGAUAAGCUAAGUUGGGUAAGAUUGAGAAGUUGGAAUAUUGAAGAUGGAAGAGGACCUUGGAGUUUAUUAUUCUCUAACCAUAUCCAUUCUAGUGAUUUGGAUUGGAAUUCUUUGAUAUGCCCACUGAAUUGAUUUUGAGAGAGAUAUAUUGUCUUUAAGGAGGGAGCAAUAUACAACCAUGACGGAAGUGUUCCAUUGAGUAAAUUGUCAGAUAAGUCUAAAUAUAUUAGAUUAUGAAAAGCGGUUACCUCAUCUGGAAUGGAACCUUCUAAAGAAUUGUUAGAUAUUGUCAAGUAUUCCAGCUGCGUUAGGUUUAGAAUUGACAAUGGAAUUUGUCCACUCAAUUUGUUCCAUCCCAAGUCUAAAACAGUGAGUUGCAAGAGGUUCCCCAAUGAUCUUGGAAUCUGUCCACUCAAUUGGUUCAGCCACAAGUCUAAAUGAGUGAGUUGCAAGAGGUUCCCUAAUGAUCUUGGAAUUUGUCCACUCAAUUGGUUCUUCGACAAGUCUAAAUGAGUGAGUUGCAAGAGGUUCCCCAAUUUUCUUGGAAUUUGUCCACUCAAUUGGUUCUCCGACAAGUCUAAAUGAGUGAGUUUCAAGAGAUUCCCCAGUGAUCUUGGAACCAGUCCUGAUAAGUUGGAAUGGGAGAGAACUAAAAACUUCAAGGACACAAGAUUCCCCAUCGAGUCAGGCAAUCCUCCACAAAUAUUUGCGUCUGAAAUUAUCAAUUGUUCAAGAUUGCUGCUCCGAUUGAACUUCAAAGGAUCAAGAUUGAGGUUUUGGUUGCCUCCCAAGUUGAGGAGAUUGAGGUUUGGCAAAUCAAAAAUGUUUUUUGGGAAUUUUCCUUGCAAAUCACAACCAACAAGACUGAGAGACCUUAGAGAAGAGGAUAGAUUCAUGAAGACAUGAGCAUUAACUGAAGACAUGUCCAUUUCAUCCAAAAACAGACGUCUGACCUCGGUUAGGUUGUGAACAAGACCCUCCAGAGCAUAUUUGUCAAUUGUUAAUAGUUCAUCAAACCCAGAAAGAUCAAGUGAAACCAAUUUUGACAGGUGGGAGACUUGGGAUGGGACUUCUGAAAACCAUGUAUUGGAAAGGUUGAGGUAGAAUAGGCUUGUAAACCGACCGAACUCGGAUGGAAUUUUGGAAGAAUUAAAAUCAUUGUAGGCAAGGUUGAGUUUUUGAAGGUGAGGAAGAAGGAAGAGAGUGGUAUUGGAAGGGAAGGUGCCAUAUAGCCAACUGCAGCUCAAGUCAAGGGCAAUAACAUGAGCAUUUAGGUGGUCACAAGUGACCCCAUCCCAUGAGCAGCAAUCUGUACCCUCCUUCCAUGAAUUUGUCUUGGGAUAAGAUUUAAGGCCAGCAAAAUAAUCGCAAUGAUCAAAAGAAGCAUCCUCUCUUAUGGAAAAGGAGUCCUUAAACUGGAUUAGUGAAGAGCAGGAGUGAGAUCCUGAAGAAGAAAAAGAAGCAUAAAGAUGGAGAAAGAAGAGGAAUAGGGAGAGAAAGAGAUAGGAGGCCAUGUUAUGUUGGUAGAGGAAGAUGAAGGAUAGGAAUGGUAUUUAUAGGCAACAAAUAAUACCACAACAUUGGUGUUACAGUCUUUUUUCUUUUACAUUGAAAAGCUAUGGAUAUUAGAUUUUCAAAAUUUUUGUAUUUUUCACAAUCAUCAACAACCACUUUGUCUUCAUUUUACCAUAUAUUUUUCAUUCUUAAAAUUGGAUUAUUUUCUUUUAGCAAAAUCUUGUAUUUCAUUUGAACUCCCUAAACAACUAAAAAAUUAAGAUUGAUAAAAUUACAAAGUAGAUUGACUUAGUCUUCUUCCUUGUAACACGUAAAGAAUUUCCACGCAAAAGAACAAAAUUGUGCUCUAUUCUUUACGUUUGAGGAAGAAGACUGCUGGAAUUUUAAUCCACUGAUUCCAUAAAAACGUGUAUACUUAUAUAUAUAUAUAUUUAUAACCUCAUAAUUUAAAUCUAAAAUCUCAUUUGUUAUAAAUUCUGAUAAAUUUAUUUGGGAAUUGCUAUUUUUCAUUCGUUAAUUAUUUCUCUUUUAAUCGAGUAAAAAAUUAAAACUAAAGACAUAAUGAUUUAUUUGGUAUUUUUUAACUUCGCAAACGAAAAAUUAUUUUAGCUUUCUAUUUUUUUUUAUCUCUUUUAGUCUUGAAAUUUAUAUGGUUCAUUAAAUCACCCAAAAAAAUGAUGAAAAAAAUAACAAAACUAGCACCUACGUGGCUGAUGUUGACCCUUAAUAGUUAAUGGCAACACCUAUGUAGUUGUUAACAGAUACCACACCAACACUGUUUGUUGACGUGACAAUGCCACAUGAUCAAUAAUCGCAGACAUGGUAGCGCCACGCCAUCGCCCAUUGAUGACAUAUUAACCUUUGAGUUAAACUCAAAUAAUUUGGUCCCAAAUAGUUUUCAACACAAAAGAAUAGAGGAAGAAGACUGCUACAGGUUUAACUAUCAAUUGUCUAUUGACUAUACUUUUAACUCCACUAAAAAAGACCAAGACUAAGACUAUCAAUUGUCUAUUGACUACACUUUAACUCGACAAAAAAAGACCAAGACUAAGACUAUCAAUUGUCUAUUGGCUUCACACUUGCUGUUGCUUCCUCCUAUUUCUCUCACCCAAACUUAAUUUACAAGCAAUGUGGAAAUUUUGGACAUUUGCCCACAACGUACAAUACUUCCACACCAUUUGCAGUAUUGACUACGUUUACUUGAGGGAAAACAAAGACAUGAACGCUGGAAAUUUUAACUAGUUUGUACCGUCAAUGAAGCUACGUACCUAAAAGCCAUUUAGGAUAUCAAUUCCUGUAAUUGGAGUAAUCUCAUCGUUGCUGCAAUCUUUUGACAGUUUAAUCGAAUCUUAAAUAUGUUACUCUGCAAUGCUAUUGUAAAUAUUUUUCUUAAAUUUGUCGAUAGAUUUAUAGGUUUGGCACAAAAUUAAGAAUACACAAAGGCAGGUUGAAUUAUUCCAUGUUUGAACAUCUGCAACAUAAAUGCAUAUGGCAAAAGGGCUCAAACCAUACCUUAUGUUCAUGAAUUCUCAUCAUCACGUGUUUAUAAAUGCAACUCAAACUUCAAUAAUUGAAUCUUUUGUAAUUCUACAUGUAUUUUUUUAUUAUGGCGAGCAGUAUAAUGUUUACUAAAAAUUGAAAUUCAAGAAAGAAGACAUAUAUAGUUGCACCAUACAAGAUGUUACACUCGAACUAAACGCUUACAAAUAGUACGAAAUGCAAUUGAAUACAGAGGAAUUGGUACAAUCAUAAAAACAGACACAUACCAAUGCAACUUUUCACCAUAGGAAAAACUUUCUGACAGACUACUAAACAAGAAAUUAUGAAGACACAGUAGAAAUGCUUUAACUUCAUUUGCACCAACUAGAUCAUUCUUCAUCCACUCAUGCGAUUGCUAUAUUUUGGCUUUCUUCUUCGCCUCUUCUCAUGUUGGUCUUCAACCAAAUUCACGAACCUUUUCACCUUAUCGGUUUGGAAAACAACACAUCCCAUGGCCAUUCCAAACACUACCCCGGAUCCAUAACCUAUCAACACCACUUUCCAACCAAAAGCAAUGUUUGCUUUUGAGCCAUCCUUUUCCAGCACAUUUGGAGGUGGUGUCUCAUUGAUGCUGCAACCUUUGGAGACUGGAAAUCCACAUAGUCUCUGUUUCCUUCGUAUGAAUUGUUUCCAAAUGUAUUGAACUGUUUGCCUUGAGGAAUCUGACCAUGGAGUUGAUUUUCGGAAACGUUUAAUAAGGAAAGAAAUGCCGGAUCUGCCAAUAUCUCUGGAAUUAACUCAGUUCAAAAGACUAUAUAACUCGUAAAGUUUGGUCGAAGACUAGCAGGGGUCAAGAAAAAUAAUUACUUGAAUUGUCAAAAUUUUGGAUUUUAGAGAAACAAGCACUAGACUUGGAGCUAUGGUCAUGCAAGGAACCAUGCAUUUCAUUUGACUUUAGUACAAGAACUUGUAGCCGUGGAAGACUUCCCUACCAAUGAGGAAAUGUAUCAUUGAUCUUGUUGUUCCUAAGAUCUAGCACUUCCAAAGACCUAAAAUUGAGGAUGGAUGGUGACAAAUGCCAUUCAAAUUGAUUUCCAUUUAAGUUGAGAUUACUCAAUUGGCAUCCCUUUGCAAAUGUUGGAGGAAUCAAUCCAUAAAACUUGUUCUUCUUUAGAUUCAAAAAUUCCAGGUUGUUGCUCAAAUUUCCAAAACAUUGUAGAAUAGUUCCACUCAAUUUAUUGUGGGACAAGUCAAGAAUUUGGAGAGCACUCACAUUGCCUAUCAAAGAAGAGACCUCUCCACUUAAACUAUUGUUUGAAGUAAAAAACACGUUGAUUGUCGAAGAUGGGAUUGGAAGAUUUCCAUGGAUCAAAUUGGAGCUUAAGUCAAGAAUAUUAAUAUUCUUCCAUGGAAGUUGCUCAACUUCUGUCAAUGAAUUGUGAGAUAAAUUUAAGUAACUCAAAGAGUCACACGUCACUUCUUGCAGCCAUUGUGGAAUCUUCCCUUCAAUUCUAUUGUUAGAAAGCUCCAAAGUUUUCAACUUUUUUAACCCUUUCAAAAAUCGGGGGAAUUGGCUGACAUUAUUUGAGCUUAAGGAUAGGCUGUUUAGUGAAAGGUCAAGAUAUUCGAGAUUUGGGAGAUUUGAGAACAUGCCAAACUCUAUGACACCACUGAAAUUAUUUGAGUAUAAAAGGAGCCAGGUAAGGUUGAGAAAUUGGAAUAUUGAAGAUGGAAGAGGACCUUGGAGAUUAUUAUUCCCUAACACUAUCAUUCUAGUGAUUUGGAUUGGAAUUCUUUGAUGUGUCCACUGAAUUGAUUCUGAGAGAGAGAUAUUUCCAUUAAGGAGAAAGCAUUAUACAACCAUGACAGAAGUUUUCCAUUGGGUAAAUUGUUAGAUAAGUCUAAAGAUAUUAGAUUAGGGAAAGCAGCUACCUCAUCUGGAAUGGGACCUUCUAAAGAAUUUUCAGCUAUUCUCAAGUGUUCAAGCUGUGUUAGGUUUACAAUUGACAAUGGAACUUGUUCACUCAAUUGGUUCCAUGACAAGUCUAAAUAUAUGAGCCACAAGAGGUUCCCCAGAGAUCUCGAAAUUGAUCCCUGUAAAUUGGAAUUAGAGAGAGACAAAUAUUUCAAGACGUGCAGGUUGUCAAUCAAAUCAAUCAAUUUUGAAAAGGAGGACAUCCAUGACAGAUCCAAAUGUUCAAGAUUACUGCUCUGAUUGAACUUCAGAAGAUCAAGAAUCAGGUUUCGGUUGUAUCCUAAGUUGAGCAAAUUGAGGUUUGGCGAAUGAAGAACGUUUCUUGAGAAUUUUCCUUGCAAAUCACAACCACCAAGACUGAGAGACUUUAUAGAAGAGGAUAGAUUGAUGAAAACAUUAGGAUUAAUAGAAGGCAUGAUAAUUCUAUCAAGAAAAAGAUGUCUCACCUCAGUUAGGUUGUGAACAAGUCCCUUCAAAGAAUUUUAUCAAGUGUUAAUUGGUCAGAAAAAACAUUAUGAGAGAGAUCAAGUGAAACCAAUUUUGACGAGUGGGAGAUUUGGGAUGGGACUUUUCCUGCAAAUAACGUUUCUGAGAUGUUAAGAUACACCAGGCUUGUAAACCGGCCGAACUCGGAUGGAAUUUUGGAAAGAUUAAAAUCAUUGUAGGCAAGGUUGAAUUUUUGAAGGUGAGGAAGAAGGAAGAGAGUGGUAUUGGAAGGGAAGUUGCCAUAUAGACAACUGCAGCUCAAGUCAAGGGCAAUAUAUAACUUGAGCAUUUAGGUGGUCACAAGUGACCCCAUCCCAUGAGCAGCAAUCUGUACCCUCAUUCCAUGAAUUUGUCCUGGGAUAAGAUUUAUGGCCAUCAAUCUCAUUGCUAUAAGAAGAAGCAUACUCUGUUAUGGAAAAAGAGUCCUUAAACUGGAUUAGUGAAGAGCAGGAGUGAGAUCCUGAAGAAGAAAAAGAAGCAUAAAGAUGGGGAAAGGUUAAGGUAGAAUAGGCUUGUAAACCGACCGAACUCGGAUGAAAUUUUGGAAAGAUUAAAAUCAUUGAAGGCAAGGUUGAGUUUUUGAAGGUGAGGAAGAAGGAAGAGAGUGGUAUUGGAAGGGAAGUUGCCAUAUAGCCAACUGCAGCUCAAGUCAAGGGCAAUAACUUGAGCAUUAAGGUGAUGACAAGUGACCCCACACCAUGAGCAGCAAUCUGUACCCUCCUUCCAUGAAUUUGUCUUGGGAUAAGAUUUAAGGCCGGCAAAAUCAUCGCAACACAAAGCAGCAUGGCCUGUCUGAGUGAUCGAAAAUGAAUUCUUGAACUGGAUUAGAGAAGCAGCUUCGUGGUGAGAGCAGGAGUGAGAUCCUGAAGAAGAAGAAGCAUAAAGAUGGGGAAAGAAGAGGAAUAGGCAGAGAGAGAGAUAGGGGCCAUGUUAUGUUUGUAGAGGAAGAUGAAGGAUAGGAAUGGUAUUUAUAGGCAACAAAUAGAAUCCAAUAUUAAACAAAAGAUUUGAUGAUUAAUACCACAACACCACUGUUACAGUGUUGUUUCUUUUAUGGUAUAAAGAUUGUUAUUGGAAGAGUUUGAAAUGCUGACAUUGAAAACCUAUAUUUUUCAAUACUCAUCAACAACCACUUCCUUUUUACCAUAUCUUUUUCAUUCCCAAAAUUGGAUACAUUGUUUUACCAAAAUUUUGUAUUUCAUUUGAACUCCCUAAACAACUGAGAAAAUUAACAUUGAUGAGAUUACAAAGUAGAUUGACUUAGUCUUCUUCCUUAUAAUAGGUAAAAAAAAAAUGUGAGUGUCUAUUCACUUAUAAUAUUUCCAUGCUAGAGGUAGUUUUUGGAAAAUCUUUAAUUAAAUCUUAAUUUCAUUUUGUUAAAAUUUUAAACUGGGUUAUCGAAUUGGCUUCUGAUUGUAGGUUGAUCAAUGAUGGGCCGAUUUCUUCUUCUUCUUUUUUAAUUUUUUUAGGGUUAAUUUAUAAUAUACUGCUUAAUGUUGUUGAUUUAUUUUUCUGGUCAUCGUUUCAUCCGUUUGUUGAAGAUAACUGAAUUUUUAUUGGUUGUAAUUGGACUUGGGUUUUAGCCAAUGACUAUAAUCAAAGGGUUAAUUUAAGGUUCCAAUGAAUUGUUUGAAAAUUUUAUUAUUUUUCUUUUCAAUUAGUUGUUUUACAAGGAUUUAACUUAUAUUAGUCAAAUGAACUGGCUUUAAAAAAUGAACAAGAACGAAGAAAUUGGAUGGUUAACUGGACACUGGAAAGGGGGAAUGCUAAAAGUUGUAAAUGUUUUGAAUAUAGAGUUGUAUUCUUUUCAUGGCUUCAGAAAAAUGUAUGCAAUGUUUGGCCAGCGAUAAUGGACAAGUUUUUUUAAACCUCCAUGCCUUAGUCAUGCUUUCAUAAACAUGGGCAGCUAACACCGAGAAGUCUCAUUGAAUGUAGUAAGCGAUUUAAAAGUGAAGCUCAUAUGCGACCGGGGAUGGUUGAUUUGAGGUUUAAUUCUAGCUAGUAGAUUCUGUUGUUUGUUAAGCGUCUUUUUGGAGACAAAUGUCUGAGAUUGCUGGAAAAUGCUUCUUACCAUCAUAUUAAUGUGUAUUUGGGUUGCGUUUUCUUAGAGUUUUGGAUUCUUUGCAUCAUAUCAUAAAAUUGAGUUAGAUAUAACAUCUCAUUGUUAUCUGUUAAUUGUUUCACUUGGGACCAGGAGCAUGCUGGCAACUCAAUACAGCUGUAAAUGCAUAUUUCAGUGAGGGUGAUAGGUAUAUAUUUAUGAAUUAUCCUAAUAUUUUUUAUGAUAAGUAAUUCUAGGUUUAUAGCUUUAUUUGUUUGUUUGUUUUCUCGUGUUUCCUACAAAAAAAGGCCAACAUCAACCAUAGUUCCUGUAGAUGAUGCCAUGGAUAUAGAUGAUCCAAAUGAAGUAGUACCAAAUGGGCCAGUCCUUCCAUUUCUACCAUCAUCUAGAACAAACGAACAAUCGUCUCUUUUUCUGAAAUUUCCGGCGCGACGCCUGUGCGGGGGGCCUUGGCCGGAAUCUGGACUUAGUCCAGAGAGUUUUUUUUUCUUUCUUCUGUUUUUUUUUUUCAAUGUUCAAAUGAUUUUUUUUCUCAAAACACUAAUUUUUAUGCCCAGUGAAACGGCGCCGUUUUGGCUAAGCUCCAAAACACCCAAAACGACGUCGUUUCACUCGCCACCAACUUGAAUUUUAUAACUACUCCUAUGCCAACCAGCAAACCAUAACAGCGUACAUAAAAAAGAGGAUGCUGACUUACAAUUCCUUUCAUUUCACCAUAACCAAUCAAAUCCCUUGCAAUGCUGUUUGGAUCACAGCAGCUCAUCUUUCAAUCCUAGAUGGCUCCGCUAAUUUUUUGAAAGCAUACAUAAACUGUUAAAGAAAUAAAUGGAUAAAACAACUACAGGAUAGAAGGCUGAAAAAUUACAAAGUGCAAUGACCUUAUUGUUAAAAUUUCAACGCCCAUUCCUUGGAAAGAUAUCUUCACCAUUGCCCACUCAAGAGAACUCAAAUAGCAGCAAGAUCUAGUAUAAAAUGUAACUCUCAACAACACACACAAAUGUUUGUUCUAUCAAGGAGCAAUACACAGACAUAUUCACCUACCCUUGGUUCUAGCUUUGCAUAUUACAUAACACUCUUCAAAUGUCUUAUUAAAUUCUCACUUUUACGAGUGCUAUGAUAAUCAAAUAAAAUUCAAUUCAAUUUUAAGUUCCAUAUAACACUUACAUGGCUACAAAAUGUGUGUGUGUUUAAGUGUCGACAACCACAAACAAUCCAAAUUUGCAGAGAAACCACCCAUUAUAUAUAGGUUUGCCAAUGAGAUGGCAAGCAGAUUGCUAGCUAGAAAUUCAUGCAUCUUUGAAUCACCAGUUCAAUUAAUAAGCUUAAGUAGAGGAAAUAGGGACUUUACAUCCACCAAUUAAAGCAACCUAUAUGUACCCUUUUACAGUCUGCAUUGUUCCAUGUUUCAAUUCAUUACAUCAUUCCUUCAACUCUGCUAUAUAUUAUUACCGUCUCCAGAUAACCAAACCUUUUACUGCUAACUUGUAAAAAAAUUAUGAAAAUACAACAGAGAUCAUUGAGACAUUGUUGAAGUUGGCUUGCAUGCAGAGCAAGAAGCAGACCAAGCUGUCCGAGCCAUGCAAGUUGCAGCUGAAGCUUAUGCUGCUGUUUUGUUACUUUCAAAUAGAUAUUUUAUUACUUAGUUAGAUAUGAACUAAGUUGUUGAUAUGCUUGAUGUGAUUAGGUGCUGAUAGAUUGAUAAAUCAGCUUUACCAAGUGUACAAGCAAUGUUUAUCAAGUUACUAAGCCACUUAGUGGAGUUAGGCACGUGUUUAGGUAACAUUUUCUUAUUUUUGACCAGCUGAUUGCUCGGUAUAUGUAAUGGAAUUGUGCCUUCAUUUGGUCUUUACUUAAGCAUUUUUAUUCAAAAAGCUCUUGCUGUUUUUGUUUUGUUUGUUGUGCAAGAUAUCAAUGCUUUAUGCUUAAGUUUCUGUCAAAAUUUCUCAUUCUGUUUUCUUAGUUCCUACAGACAUUUUGUUCUCCUUUCUCCUUUACUGAGCAGUAGCAAAGAUUAUUGAGACUAAAUUGAAAUCCAUGAAAGAAGACAUAAACAACACCACCAUACAAAAUGUCACACUCAAACAAACCAUUACAGAUAGUACGAAAUGCAAUGAAAGACAGAGGAAUUGGUACAAUAAUAAAGACAGCCAGAUACCAAUGCAACCCUUCACCAUAGGCACAACGGUCUACAAACAAGAAAUUAUGAAAAAUACAACACUAAUUCUUGAACAUCAUUUGCAGUAAUUAGAUCCUUCUUCGUCUACUGCUGCGAUUGCCUUUCUUUGACUUUCUUCUUCGCCUCUUCUCAUGUUGGUUUUCAACCAAAUUCACCAACCAUUUUGGCUUUCCAGUUUGGAAAACAACAUAUCCCACGGACAUUCCGAACACUACUCCGCAUCCACAACCUAUCAUCACCACUUUCCAACCAAAAGCAAUGUUUGAUUUUGAGCCAUCUUUUUCAAGCACAUUUGGAGGUGGUGGGUCAAUGAUGUUGCAACCUUUCGAGACCGGAAACCCACACAGUCCCUUAUUUCCUUCAUAUGAAUCAUUUCCAAAUGUGUUGAAUUGUUUGCCUUGGGGAAUCUUACCAUGGAGUUGAUUUUCAGAAACAUUUAAGGACGAAAGAAACGGCAGAUCUGCCAAUCUAUUUGGAAUCGCCCCAGACAACCUGUUUGAAGAUAGGUCCAACCAUUCAAGACUUGUCAAAUUCCCUAUUGAUGUGGGGAUACCACCAUUAAGGUUAUUAUGAGAAAGGUUGAGCCCUUUCAGUAAGUUAAGCUUCCCAAUAACCUUUGGAAUACCCCCUUCAAACUGAUUGUUUGAUAGAUCAAUGAUCAUCCACAUGGUGAAAAUUUUCACCAAUUCCCUAUCUUGUCCUUUCAUAACAAUUCCAAUGGAAUAGGUAUAGAAGUCACCUCCAUCAUCAUUCACCCCCAUGUACGACACUGUACUACCAAUCUUCUCUAGAUUUAUGAUAGCCUUGAAGCUGUUGAUGUAUCUCACUGGUAGGGGUCCAGAAAAAUAAUUACUUGAGAGAUCAAAAAUUUGGAUUUUAGAGAAAAAAGGGAUAGACUUGGAGCUAUUGACACAUAAGGAACCAUGCAAUUGAUUUGACUUCAAUACAAGAACUUGUAGCCGUGGAAGACUUCCCAACCAAUGAGGAAAUGUAUCAUUGAUCUUGUUGUUACCAAGAUCUAGCACUUCCAGACCAUUACAAUUAAGGAUGGAUGGUGUCAAAGGCCCUUCUAACAGAUUUCCAUUUAAGUUGAAAUUACUCAAUUGGCAUCCCAUUGCAAAUGUUGGAGGAAUCGUCCCAUAGAACUUGUUCUUCUUCAGAUUCAAGAAUAGAAGGCUGUUGCUCAAAUUUCCAAAACAUUGUGGAAUUGUUCCACUCAAGUUAUUGUGGGACAAAUCAAGAAUUUCAAGAAAAGCGGCAUUGCAUAUUAAAGAAGAGACCUCUCCAUUGAAACUAUUAUUAGAGAUCAAAAAGACAUUGAUGGUCGAAGCUGGAAUCGGAAGAUUUCCACUGAUCAAAUUGGAGCUUAAGUCAAGAACGUCAAUAUUCUUCCAUGGAAAGUGCUCAACUUCUGUCAAAGAGUUGUGAGAUACGUUUAAGUAAGUCAAAGAGUCAUUCCCCACCUCUUGCAUCCACUGUGGAAUCUUGCCUUCAAUUUUGUUGUAAGAGAGGUCUAAGCUUUCCAAACUUUUAAGCCCUUUUAAAAAUUGGGGGAAUUCACUAAGAUUGCAAGAUGACAAAAACAACCUUGUAAGAUUAACAGUAGAAGUAGUAUUAGAUGUUAAGGAUAGGCUGUUAUAUGAAAGGUCAAGAGAUUCGAGAUUUGGAAGGUUUGAGAACAUGCGAAACUCUAUGACACCACUAAGAUAAUUUGAGGAUAAGCUAAGUUGGGUAAGAUUGAGAAGUUGGAAUAUUGAAGAUGGAAGAGGACCUUGGAGUUUAUUAUUCUCUAACGCUAUCCAUUCUAGUGAUUUGGAUUGGAAUUCUUUGAUAUGCCCACUGAAUUGAUUUUGAGAGAGUUUUAUAUCCUUUAAGGAGGGAGCAGUAUACAACCAUGAUGGAAGUUGUCCACUGAGUAAAUUGUUAGUUAAGUCUAAAGAUAUUAGAUUAGGAAAAGCGGUUACCUCAUCUGGAAUAGAACCUUUUAAUGUAUUUCCAGCUAUUCUCAAGUAUUCCAGCUGCGUUAGGUUUAGAAUUGACAAUGGAAUUUGUCCAUUCAAUUGGUUCUGCCACAAGCCUAAAUAAGUGAGUUGCAAGAGGUUCCCCAAUGAUCUUGGAAUUUGUCCACUCAAUUGGUUUUGCCACAAGCCUAAAUAAGUGAGUUGCAAGAGGUUCCCCAAUGAUCUUGGAAUUUGUCCACUCAACUGGUUCCCCGAUAAGUCUAAAUGAGUGAGUUGCAAGAGAUUCCCCAGUGAUUUUGGAACCGGUCCUGAUAAGUUGGAAUAGGAGAGAUCUAAAAACUUCAAGGACACAAGAUUACCCACCGAGUCUGGCAAUCCUCCAAAAAAAUUUGCGCCUGAAAUUAUCAAUUGCUCCAAAGAUGAUAAAUUUGUGAUUGAGACAGACAAUCCUUGAAAGAAAAAAUUUCCUGAUAGACCUAAGGACUUUAAGGCCUGUAGAUUAUCAACUGAAUCAAUGAAUUCUGUAGAGAAGGACGUCCAUGACAGAUCCAAAUGUUCAAGAUUGCUGCUCCGAUUCAACUUCAAAGGAUCAAGAUUGAGGUUUUGGUUGUUUCCCAAGUUGAGGAGAUUGAGGUUUGGCAAAUCAAAAAUGUUGUUUGGGAAUUUUCCUUGCAAAUCACAACCAGCAAGACUGAGAGACCUUAGAGAAGAGGAUAGAUUCAUGAAGACAUGAGCAUUAACAGAAGCCAUCUCCAUUCCAUCCAAAAACAGAUGUCUGACCUCGGUUAGGUUUUGAACAAGUCCCUCCAGAGCAUGUUUGUCUCCUACAAACCCUGUACUGGAAAGGUCGAGGUAGAGUAGGCUUGUAAACCGACCUAACUCGGAUGGAAUUUCGGAAAGAUUAAACUCAUUGUAGGCAAGGUUGAGUUUUUGAAGGUGAGGAAGAAGGAAGAGAGUGGAAUUGGAAGGGAAGUUGCCAUAUAGCCAACUGCAGCUCAAGUCAAGGGCAAUAACAUGAGCAUUUAGGUGGUCACAAGUGACCCCAUCCCAUGAGCAGCAAUCUGUACCCUCCUUCCAUGAAUUUGUCUUGGGAUAAGAUUUAUGGCCAGCAAUCUCAUUGCAAUAAGAAGAAGCGUCCUCUGUUAUGGAAAAAGAGUCCUUAAACUGGAUUAGUGAAGAGCAGGAGUGAGAUCCAGAAGAAGAAAAAGAAGCAUAAAGAUGGGGAAAGAAGAGGAAUAGGCAGAGGAAGAGAUAGGGGGCCAUGUUAUGUCUGUAGAGGAAGAUGAAGGAUAGGAAUGGUAUUUAUAGGCAACAAAUAAUACCGCAGUGUUACAGUCUUUUUUUCUUUUACAUUGAGAAGCUAUGGAGAUUAGAUUUUCAAAAUUUUUGUAUUUUUAACAAUCAUCAACAGUCACUUAGUCUUCUUUUUACCAUAUAUUUUUCAUUCUUAAAAUUGGAUGCUAUCUUUUCGCAAAAUCUUGUGGAAAUUCUUUAGCCUUCUUCUCUAUAACACUUAAAGAAUGUGUGUAUGUAUUCAUUUGCCUGUCAACUAAAGCUAAUUAAUGUGGAAAUUCUUUUCCACCCAAAAGAACAAAAUUGUGCUCUAUUCAUUAAGUUUGAGGAAGAAGAUUGCUGGAAAUUUAAUCUACCGAUUCCAUAAAAAACGUGUAUACUUAUAUAACCUCAUAAUUCAAAUCUAAAAUCUCAUUUGUUAUAAAUUCUGAUAAAUUUCUUUGGAAUUGCUAUUUUUCAUUUGUUAAUUAUUUCUCUUUUAAUCGAGUAAAAAAUUAAAACUAAAAAGACAUAAUGAUUUAUUUGGCAUUUUUAAACUUUACAAAUAAAAAAUCAUUUUAGCUUUUCAUUUUUUUAUCUCUAUUAAAUCACCCAAAAAAAAUAAUGAAAAAGACUAACAAAACUAGCACCUACGUGGCUGAUGUUGACCCUUAGUAGUUAAUGACAACAUCUACGUAGUUGUUAACAGAUACCACACUAACACUGUUUGUUGACGUGACAAUGCCACAUGAUCAAUAAUCACCGACAUGGUAGCGCCACGCUAUCGCCCAUUGGUGACAUAUUGAUGUUUGAGUUAAACUCAAAUUACUAUUUCCUUUGUUAUAAAUUAAGAGUAUAACUAAUUUUGAUAAGAAUGAUUACUUUUCAUUAACUCAGUCUAAAGGACUAUAACACGUAAAGUUUGGCCUAUUGCAGAAUUCACAUGCAAUGCGGGGCAUUUACAUUAUGCAGAAUUCGGCACAUAUAUGGGAAUUUUUGUAUUUCCACAAUCAUCAUGUUGUUCGUGAUCAACAACUACUUCCUUUUUACCAUAUAUUUUUCAUUCAUAAAAUUGAUUACUUUUUUUUUUACGAAAGAAGUAAAAUUAUUAACAUUCAUGAUAUUACAAAGCCUUCUUCCUUAUAACACGUCAAGUUUGGCCCCAAAUAAUUUUCCAGACAAAAGAAUUAAGAGGAAGGAGACUGCUACAGAUUGACUAUACUUUUAACUCCACAAACAAAGACUAAGACUAUCAAUUGUCUAUUGACUACACUUUAACUCGACAAAAACAGAUUGACUAUACUUUUAACUCCACAAACAAAGACUAAGACUAUCAAUUGUCUAUUGACUUCACUUUAACUCGACAAAAACAGACUAAUAAGACUUUGGUUGGCUGUAAUGGGCUAUUGACUAUACUUUAACUCCGCAAAAAAAGACUAAGGCUAUCAAUUGUCUAUUGACUUCACACUUGCUGUUGCUUCCUCCUAUCUCUAUCACUUGCUUCCUCCUAUCUCUAUCACCCAAACUUAAUUUACAAGCAAUGUGGAAAUUUUGGACAUUUGGGCCACAAUGUACAAUACUUCCACACCAUUUGCAGUAUUGACUACGUUUACUUGAGGGCAAACAAAGACAUGAAUGCUGGAAAUUUUAACUAGUUUGUACCGUCAAUGAAGCUACGUACCUAAAAGCAAUGUAUUAUCACCGUCUCCAGAAAUUUUGCUAAUUCAAUUUCCCAAGAAAUAUGAUUAAUUUUGGUUAAAUUGGAGUGAACAUUACUAUUUCUGUUUUAGCAAUUAAAGCAACCUAUAUGUACCCUUUUACAGUCUGCAUUGUUCCAUGUUUCCAUUCAUUACAUCAUUCCUUCAACUCUGCUAUAUAUUAUCACCGUCUCCAGAGAACCAAACCUUUUACUGCUAACUUGUAAAAAAAUUAUGAAAAUACAACAGAGAUUAUUGAGACAUUGUUGAAGUUGGCUUGCAUGCAGUAGACAUUGUUAAUCUUAUUAUUAUUAUUAUUAUUAUUAACUCAUGAACCCAUGGUUACACUUCCAACAGAGGUGAGAGAGGUUAAGAGUAGCCAUGAGCCAUCUAGUCAUGCUCCUGUUGUUGAGGAUGCCUCUGAAACUGCACAAGCUCUCAGCCCGAAUUCAAAUCUAAAAUCUCAUUUGUUAUAAAUUCUGAUAAAUUUAUUUGGGAAUUGCUAUUUUUCAUUCGUUAAUUAUUUCUCUUUUAAUCGAGUAAAAAAUUAAAACUAAAAAGACAUGAUAAUUUACUUGGCAUUUUUUAACUUUACAAACAAAUAGUCAUUUUAGCUUUCCAUUUUUUUUUUCUCUUUUAGCCUUGAAACUUAUAUGGUUCCUUAAAUCACUCCAAAAAAAAUGAUGAAAAAGACUAACAAAUUCUAGCACCUACGUGGCUGAUGUUGACCCUAGUAGUUAAUGGCAACACCUACGUAGUGGUUAACAGAUACCACACCAACACUGUUUGUUGACGUGACAAUGCCAAAUGGUCAAUAAUCGCUGACAUGGUAGCGCCACGCCAUCGCCCAUUGAUGACAUGUUAACCUUUGAGUUAAACUCAAAUUACUCUUUCCUUUGUUAUAAAUUAAGAGUAUAAAUAAUUCUGAUAAGAAUAGUUACUUUUCAUUAACUCAGUUUAAAGGACUAUAACACGUAAAGUUUGGUCUAUUGCAGAAUUCACAUGCCAUGCGGGACGUUUACAUUAUGCAGAAUUCAACACAUAUAUGGGAAUUUUUGUAUUUCCACAAUCAUCAAAUAAUUUUCAUAAAUUGAUUACUUUCUUUUUACCAUAUAAUUUUCAUUCAUAAAUUGAUUACUUUUUUUUUACAAAAGAAGUAAAAUAAUUAAUAUUCGUGAGAUUACAAAGUCUUCUUCCUUAUACACGUCAAGUUUGGUCUCAAAUAAUUUUCCACACAAAAGAAUACUUUUAACAAUCAAUUGUCUAUUGACUAUACUUUGAACUCCACAAAAAAGACUAAGACCUUCAAUUGUCUAUUGACUACACUUUAACUCGACAAAAAAAGACUAAGACUAUCAAUUGUCUAUUGACUAUCAAUUGGUUCCAUGACAAGUCUAAAUAUAUGAGCCACAAGAGGUUCCCCAAUGAUCUCGAAAUUGAUCCCCGUAAAUUGGAAUUAGAGAGAGACAAAUAUUUCAAGACAUGCAGGUUGUCAAUCAAAUCAAUCAAUUUCGUAAAGGAGGACAUCCAUGACAGAUCCAAAUGUUCAAAAUUACUGCUCUGAUUGAACUUCAGAAGAUCAAGACUAAGGAUUCGGUUGUAUCCUAAGUUGAGCAAAUUGAGGUUUGGCGAAUGAAGAAUGUUUCUUGAGAACUUUCCUUGCAAAUCACAACCACCAAGACUGAGAGACUUUAUAGAAGAGGAUAGAUUCAUGAAAACAUUAGGAUUAAUAGAAGGCAUGAUAAUUCUAACAAGAAAAAGAUGUGUCACCUCAGUUAGGUUGUGAACAAGUCCCUCCAAAGAAUUUUAUCAAGAGUUAAUUGGUGAGAAAAAACAUUAUGAGAGAGAUCAAGUGAAACCAAAUUUGACGAGUGGGAGAUUUGGGAUGGGACUUUUCCUGUAAAUAACGUUUUUUAGAUGUUAAGAUACACCAGCCUUGUAAACCGACCGAACUAGGAUGGAAUUUUGGAAAGAUUAAAAUCAUUGUAGGCAAGGUUGAGUUUUUGAAGGUGAGGAAGGAGGAAGAGAGUGGUAUUGGAAGGGAAGUUGCCAUAUAGCCAACUGCAGCUCAAGUCAAGGGCAAUAACAUGAGCAUUAAGGUGAUGACAAGUGACCCCAUACCAUGAGCAGCAAUCUGUACCCUCCUUCCAUGAAUUUGUCUUGGGAUAAGAUUUAAGGCCGUCAAAAUCAUCGCAAUACAAAGCAGCAUGGUCUGUCUGAGUGAUCGAAAAUGAAUUCUUGAACUGGAUUAGAGAAGCAGCUUCGUGGUGAGAGCAGGAGUGAGAUCCUGAAGAAGAAGAAGCAUAAAGAUGGGGAAAGAAGAGGAAUAGGCAGAGAGAGAGAUAGGGGCCAUGUUAUGUUUGUAGAGGAAGAUGAAGGAUAGGAAUGGUAUUUAUAGGCAACAAAUAGAAUCCAAUAUUAAACAAAAGCUUUGAUGAUUAAUACCACAACACCACUGUUACAGUGUUGUUUCUUUUAUGGUAUAAAGAUUGUUAUUGGAAGAGUUUGAAAUGCUGACAUUGAAAACCUAUAUUUUUCAAUACUCAUCAACAACCACUUCCUUUUUACCAUAUCUUUUUCAUUCCCAAAAUUGGAUACAUUGUUUUACCAAAAUUUUGUAUUUCAUUUGAACUCCCUAAACAACUGAGAAAAUUAACAUUGAUGAGAUUACAAAAUAGAUUGACUUAGUCUUCUUCCUUAUAAUACGUAAAAAAAAAUGUGAGUGUCUAUUCACUUAUAAUAUUUCCAUGCUAGAGGUAGUUUUUGGAAAAUCUUUAAUUAAACCUUAAUUUCAUUUUGUUAAAAUUUUUAACUGGAUUAUCGAAUUGGCUUCUGAUUGUAGGUUGAUCAAUGAUGGGCUGAUUUCUUCUUCUUCUUUUUUAAUUUUUUUAGGGUUUAUAAUAUACUGCUUAAUGUUGUUGAUUUAUUUUUCUGAUCAUCGUUUCAUUCGUUUGUUGAAGAUAACUGAAUUUUUAUUGGUUGUAAUUGGACUUGGGUUUUAGCCAAUGACUAUAAUCAAAGGGUUAAUUUAAGGUUCGAAUGAAUUAUUUGAAAAUUUUAUUAUUUUUCUUUUCAAUUAGUUGUUUUACAAGGAUUUAACUUAUAUUAGUCAAAUGAACUGGGUUUAAAAAAUGAACAAGAACGAAGAAAUUGGAUGGUUGACUGGACACUGGAAAGGGGAAAAGCUAAAAGUUGUAAAUGUUUUGAAUAUAGAGUUGUAUUCUUUUCAUGGCUUCAGAAAAAUGUAUGCAAUGUUUGGCCAGCGAUAAUGGACAAGUUUUUUUAAACCUCCAUGCCUAAGUCAUGCUUUCAUAAACAUGGGCAGCUAACACCGAGAAGUCAGUAAGCGAUUUAAAAGUGAAGCUCAUAUGCGUCAUUGCUACUCGCUUUGCAGCUAAACUCCUGAGUGACCGGGGAUGGUUGAUUUGAGGUUUAAUUCUAGCUAGUAGAUUCUUAGGUUUGUUAAGGGUCUUUUUGGAGACAAAUGUCUGAGAUUGCUGGAAAAUGCUUCUUACCAUCAUAUUAAUGUCUAUUCGGGUUGCGUUUUCUUAGAGUUUUGGAUUCUUUGCAUCUUAUCAUAAAAUUGAGUUAGAUAUAACAUGUCAUUGUUAUCUGUUAAUUGUUUCACUUGGGACCAGGAGCAUGGUGGCAACUCAAUACAGCUGUAAAUGCAUAUUUCAGCGAGGGUGAUAGGUAUAUAUUUAUGAAUUAUGCUAAUAUUUUGUUAUGAUAAGUAAUUCUAGGUUUAUAGCUUUAUUGGUUUGUUUGUUUUCUCAUGUUUCCUACAAAAAUAAGGCCAACAUCAACCAUAGUUUCUGUAGAUUAUGCCAUGGAUAUAAAUGAUCCAAAUGAAGUUGUACCAAAUGGGCCAGUCCCUUCCAUUUCUACCAUCAUCUAGAACAAACGAACAAUCGUCUCUUCAUCAUCGAAACUUCCAUAGCAGUUUCUUCGAUGGUGAUUCUGGUUCAACUUAUGAACCAAUUGAUACAUAUCCAACAGAGGUGAGAGGGGUUAAGUAUAGCCAUGAGCCAUCUAGUCAUGCUCCUGUUGUUGAGGAUGCCUCUGAAACUGCACAAGCUCUCGGCCCGAAUUCCCAUGAGACUGUUACAAUUGGUGAAGUAGGUGACGAUUCAAUUGCGCAGCCAAGGUGGCAGAAUGAUAACUGUAACAACCAGCAUGUUACACCCAGCGCUCCUGCCUUUGAUAAUUUGCUAGACUAUGGCGAUGACAUUGAAGAACAAAUGAUUCAAGCUGCCAUUGAGGCCUCUAAGCGGGAUGCUGAGGCAAGUUUUAAAAAAAGGACGCUUCCAAUUUGAUAGUGUUGUGGUGCCCUUCAUUCUUGUAGUUGCUGUAAAUGCUUGUUUUACAGAUUGCCUUUUUCAUGUUUAAAGUGUUAAAGUGUUGCAAAUUGAAGUGUUUUAAGUAAUGCAAAUUGAAUUGUUUAGUUGCUGGAAAUUGAGAUGUUUUAUGGCCGUAAUUGAGUGUAUAAAUGUUGUAAAUUGAAGUGUUUUAUUGCUGGAAAUUGGAUGCAUGGUAUAAUGACAUGAUAGAAUGUCAUUACAAUGUUGUAACUUUUUGAUGUUGUAAAAUCAUAUGGAUUAUGACAUCUAAACUAAUGAAAUCGUGUAACUUUUUAUUAAUAUAUGAAUAUUAUGUUGGGAUGUGAAAUAUAAUUCUCAAGUUAUUUAUUACUUCUAAUAUCUAAUAUUUCAUUGUAGAAUAAUUAAAAUUAUUUGUUUCACUAAUGAUAUUUUAGCACAUUCAAUAUCUAUUGCAGUUUAAAAAUAAUAAUUUAGAUUAUAUAUUAUUUUUAUAGUAUUAUAUAUUAUGAUUUUAGUAAAUUCAUAUAAUAGUAAUUAUAUUAAGAAUUUUAUUAAAUUAUAUUUAAUAAUAAUUAUGUUAAAAUAUGGUUAAAUUAUUUAUUAUCUUUAUUAAAUUAUUUUUAAUAAUAAUCUUUUUAAAAUUUAAUAACAAUAACAAAAAUCAUCUACUUAAAAAAGAUUCUGCUAAGGGUAUUCUAGUCAUUUUAGUUUUUUCCUUAUGCAAUUACAACAUCAUUCCAUUCAACCAAACACAAGAAUACCAUUACAGUUCUAUUCCGUUCCAUUCAACCAAACAAUUGAAUUACUGAUUACAGCUCUAUUCCAUUACAGUGAACCAAAUAUAUCCUUAGUAUGAAUGGCUGUCGAGGCAUGUAGAAAUUUGCACACAAAAGAACAAAAUUGUGCACUACUUAAAACUUCAAAGCAUGUGUGGCCUUAAUUUAAUUUUUCAUCUUUUUUAGCCCUUAAACCUACAUUGUUUAUCAGAUGAAAAAAUUAAUAUCUAUUAACUUUGCUAAUGUGCAAGCAUAUGCAACUUCUUUUAAAUCUAAAAAAUAUAAAAAUAAUUAAAUAUGUAUAAAUCUAAAGAUAUCUUAAACUUAAAACUAAAAUUUUUUAAACUAAUGCAAAUUUUUAUUAUUUAAAAAAUCUUAAAAUUUUCAAAUUAAAUUCCAUUUGUUUUCCACCGUUGAAGAACACCUUUAAUCACAACUUCAUGCUGUAUUGCCUAGAAAUUGUUUUGCAAAUUUAUUUUGUUUUAUUUAUUUCUAAACCCAUAUUUCUUUUCUAUAACUCCAAUUAUUAGAUUGUUUAGGGUUUUGAGUAACUUUCGAUUUUGGAAUUUUAGAUUUUUUAAAUUUAAAUAUGAAGUGCUCUUCUUCUUCUCCAAACCCACAAAUUUUUCUGCCAAAUUUCUACUCAAGGUUUUACUUUCAGCUAUAAAUAAAGCGUAUAUUAUAUUUAUAAUGAUCUAAGAAUAGUAGAGUCGAUGCCGAUCUACAUGAAAAAGGAUGAAAAAAAAAGGCAAAGAAUGAUAAUAUGAAGAGAGCAUAAAUCAAUAAAGCAAAUGAAAAACGAGCAGGAUUAAAGUAAAUGGGUAUUUAAUAUUUUUUUGUGAAAGUUCAAAGACUGAUUAUUUAUAAAAUUGGAUGUGGAAAAAUUAGUUGGAAUUUUUUUUCUUACACCAAUUGAUUUUUUAUAUAAAAUUUUUAUUUAUUUUUAAGUGUUGAAACCACUUUUUGAAAACAAAAAAAAAGUGUUACUUUUAUUUUGAAAACGGAAACGAAAAAAUGGGAGUCGCCACCGAUAUUUUUUUUGAGGUGUGAUCGGAUCACCUUAAAACAAUUUUGGUCUACGAAUAAAAAAAUGGGUCCGGGAGUCAAUUACGUAGGAGGAAGGAUUAGCACCCUCAUAACGCCCAAAAUUGAUACCGAAUUGCAUAAUUAAUGUCUUAAAGUCGAAUGUCGAAAAUUCAAAAAGAUUAAAAAUGAUCCCCUUUAAUUAAUGACAUAUUUUUAAACAAUAUUUGUAUAAAUUUGAUCAUAUGUAGAAAGGUCUUCUCAUCCUGAGUCAACAAAAUGUCGUAUCCCAUAAGUUAGGAUGCGACAUUUAGAUUUCCGAGCAUAAUCUAGCCUUUAAAACCCUUUAUUGAAACUUUAUGUAUUUGAAAACUAAAAAUGUUUGACCAUCUUGGUUCAAUGAGGAAAUCGAAAACCCGUAAGUUAGGACAAAUUUCCUCAAAGUUCCAAAGACGAUAUAUACGUUUGCCUUUAUUUAAAAAAAAAAGAUACUCGGUUACUUAAAUUCAACGAGGAAAAUUGGAGCCUAAUAAGUUAGGGCACAAUCUUCUCGAAAAUAUUGGAUACCGGGUAUUACGUUAUUUUGAAAACUUUGAAUAAAAUGAUUUCAAUACUUUGACUAAACGCAACAUUUUAAAUGAAUAAAAUGCGAUGGAACAAUAACGUAUAACGCGAAGUGAUAAUUCGUAAACUAAAAUAUACGCUAAUGAUCGACAAAGAAUCAAUGAAUACGAGUAAGCAAUACAAUACAUCAUAUAAGAGCAACAAUCUCAUAUCCCACAUUAUGCAAAUACUAACAUCCAUUUUAGCAAGCUAAAUGAAUUAAAAGUUAAUUAAAGAACAGCAAGCAAAUUAAUGUAAAUCUAAUAUAACAAGCUUUAAAAUAAAAUAAAAAUAAAAAUCAUGAAAAAGAGGAAAAUUCAAACACUAAAUUGUAUGUAUAAAAUAUUUGGCACAAAUAAUAUAUAGGAAAACUUGCAAUAAAAAAAUGAAGAAAAUAAAGAAUAAAUAAGAUGCAAAAUAAUACAUGUUCAUCUAAAUAAGUAGUACAUAUAAAAUAAAAUUUUAAUAUAAAUGUUGAAAUAAACAAAGCGUGUAAUUGAACAUCAUUUCCACUAACUAGAUCCUUCUUCGUCAACUGCUGCGAUUGCCUUUCUUUGACUUUCUUUUUCGCCUCUUCUCAUGUUGGUUUUCAACCAAAUUCACCAACCAUUUCGGUUUUCCAGUUUGGAAAACAACAUAUCCCACCAACAUUCCGAACACUACUCCGCAUCCAUAACCUAUCAACACCACUUUCCAACCAAAAGUAAUGUUUGAUUUUGAGCCAUCUUUUUCAAGCACAUCUGGAGGUGUUGGCGCAAUGAUGUUGCAACCUUUCGAGACCGGAAACCCACAUAUGAAUCAUUUCCAAAUGUGUUGAAUUGUUUGCCUUGAGGAAUCUGACCAUGGAGUUGAUUUUCAGAAACAUUUAAGGACAAAAGAAAUGGCAGAUCUACCAAUCUAUUUGGAAUGGUUCCAGACAACCUGUUUGAAGAUAGUGUUGGCACAUAAUUAAAUUAACCUUGCACAAAUAAAUUAUGAAAAGUUAGAAGAGUGAAGAGACUUGAAUAUGAAAAGUGAAAAAACUUGAAUAUGAAUAGUGAAGAGACUUGAAGAUGAAAAGUUAAGAGGCUUGAAUAUGAAAAGAUACACACAUGCAUGAAUAGUCACAACUCCUAGCAUAUAGUGAUAUAGAUGAAUAGUCACUUACAACUCCUAUAUAAAGAGUUGUAUGUGAUGAAGAAUUAUUAACUUUGUGUGCUUGAAAUAAAAGAUUAUUUGAAAGAAUUUUUUCAUACAAAAUUUAUUUCUCUUCUCCAUUAUAUUCUUUAUCAUUUUCUUUGUUUUAUUUCUCCAAAUAUUAAUCAUUCAACUACAAAUUGGUAUCAAAGCCUUGUUCAAUCGAAAUGAACAAUUCUAUUCCUCUUUCUUCCGUUCCCCAAUUAACCAAAGAAAAUUAUGGCAAAUGGAGUAUCCAAAUGAAGGCUCUUCUUGGAUCUCUAGAAGUUUGGGAGAUUGUUGAAAAAGGUUAUAAUGAAGUUGAGGGUGAAGAGGAGGAAGGAUUAACACAAGUUCAAAAAGAGAGUCUAAGAAAAUCAAGGAAGAAAAAUCAGCAAGCCUUAUUUUGGAUAUAUCAAGGAGUUCAAUCAUAUGAAGCGGCUUGGGAAAAAAUAGCUUGUGCCACCACGGCAAAACAAGCAUGGGAAUUUUUACAAAAUUCAUUCAAAGGAGAUGAAAAGGUGAAAAGAGUUCGGUUGCAAACUCUUUGAGGAGAGUUUGAAAGAUUGCAAAAAAUAGAGUCAGAAUCAGUUUCUGAUUACUGUUCACGGGUUUUGUCCAUAGUCAAUCAAUUAAAAAGAAAUGGUGAAACUAUGGAUGAUAUUCGUGGUGUUGAGAAAAUCCUCCGUUCUUUAGAUUCCAAAUUUGACUACAUUGUGGUUGCCAUAGAAGAAUCAAAGGACUUGAGUACCAUGACUAUUGAUGAACUCACAGGUUCGUUGCAAGCCCAUGAAGAAAGAUUAAACAAGAAGAAAAAGGAAGUAGAUCUAGAUCAAGCACUUCAGUCAAAGUUGUCUCUAAAUGAGAAUAAGGGAGAUUUUAAAAAUCAAAGAGGGAGAGAUCGUGGUCGUGGAAGAGGAAGAAAUUUUAGAGGAAGAGGCUCAAAUGCUCGUGAAAGAGGUGAAGAUGUAAGCAUGGAGAAUGGAUGGAAAGAAGCCAACCAAAGUCAAAAUUUUAGAGGAUCACAAAGAGGACGUGGACGUAGAAAUCAAAGAGGAAGAGGUCGUGGCUAUUUUGAAUGUUAUAAUUGUCGCAAACCUGGUCAUUUGGCAAGUGAAUGCUGGUACAAAGAAGAAGAGAAAAAUGAAGCUAAUAUAGUACAAAAUAAUCAAGAGCAAAAGCAAGAAACUUUGUUGCUCGUAUCUCAUGGUGGAGAGAUUGAUGAUGUCUGGUACAUAGACAGUGGUGCUAGCAAGCAUAUGACAGGUAACAAAAAUUUAUUUUCGAAGUUCUUUGAAUCUGAUUGUGGAGAAGUAAAAGUAGGAGAUGGCAAAGCUUACAAAGUUAGCGGUGUUGGUGAGUUGGAGUUCAAAACAAAGCAAGGAAGGGUAGAGAAAAUGUCUGAAGUUUAUUUUGUUCCUGGUCUUAAAAAUAAUCUGCUUAGCGUUGGGCAUCUCUUGAAGAAGGGGUAUGAUAUUCAUUUCCGAGACAUGGCUUGCUAUUUAUCAAAGAAAAAUCAGGUUGUUGCUAGAGUUGGAGUGGCAUCAAAUAAUCUUUUCUCUCUUACCCUUCAAAAUCAGAAUAUGUCUUGUUUUAUUGGUGCUCAUAAAGGAAUUUCAAAGUUAUGGCAUGAUAGAUAUGGACAUUUAAACUAUGGAAAUUUGGAGAUGCUUUCAAGGAAGAUGAUGGUUAGAGGUUUACCAAAAAUCGAUCGGCUUGAUGAUGUUUGUGAAGCAUGUCAACUUGGAAAGCAACAUAAAAUUGCUUUUCCUUCUCAAUCCUCGUGGAAAGCAAGAAGACCAUUGCAACUUAUUCACUCAAAUCUUUGUGGUCCAAUGACAGUUUCAUCUUUAGGAGGUAAUCGUUACUUUAUCUCUUUCAUUGAUGAUUACUCAAGAAAGUUAUGGGUGUAUUGUGUCAAAGAAAAAUCAGAGGCUUUUCAGAGAUUCAAAGAUUUCAAGGCAGAAGUGGAGAACUUUACUGGGUUGAAAAUUAACACCUUGCGUACAGAUCGUGGAGGUGAAUAUUUUUCAAAAGAAUUUGAGAAAUAUUGCCGAGAUAGUGGCAUCCGGCAUGAAAUGACAGUCCGCCAUACACCUCAGCAAAAUGGUGUGUGUGAAAGAAAGAACAGAACAAUUAUGGAAAUGGCUAGAUGUCUUCUUAAUAAGAAGAGGUUAUCAAGAAGAUUUUGGGCUGAAGUUGUUUCCUGUGCAGUUUAUCUUAUAAACAGAUCACCGACAAGAAGCUUGGAGAAUUACACACCACAUGAGGCGUGGUAUGGUAUAAAGCCUAGUGUUAGUCAUCUUAGAGUAUUUGGGAGUGUUGCCUACUCUCUAUUCCAGAUGCAAUGAGAAGCAAGUUGGAUGACAAGUCAGAGAAAUGCAUUUUUAUUGGCUAUAGUGAAAGAAGUAAGGCAUACAAGUUGUAUAAUCCGGUGACAAAGAAGAUUGUGAUAAGCCGAGAUGUUCGGUUUGAUGAAAAUUCCAUGUUUGAAGAUAUGGAAGUUGAAAAGGAAAAUUUGCCAAUUUUUCCUUUUGAACUUGAAGAAGAAGAAGAGGCAGUAAUUGAGAAUGCUGAAGAUGAUGCUCAAGUAGAAAAUCCUCCUGCUUCCCCAUGUUCUUCAUCAAAUUCUUCUUCAUCCAGCCCGAUCCGAAAAACGAGAAGCAUCCAAGAGUUAUAUGAUGUAACGGAUGAAGUUGUGCAAAAUGAUGCUGUAUUCUUUGCCUUCUUUGCAGGAGAAGAUCCAAUUUCUUUUGAUGAUGCAUAUCAAGAAGAAAUAUGGAGGAAAGCCAUGAAAUAAGAGAUUUUCUCAAUUGAAAACAAUGAUACAUGGGAACUCACAGAUUUACCGCCGCACAAGAAUUCAAUUGGAGUCAAAUGGGUGUACAAGACAAAGAUGAAUCCGAAUGGCUCUAUCAACAAGUACAAGGCAAGACUGGUUGCAAAAGGAUACAAGCAAAAGGAAGGAGAAGAUUUUACAGAGGUAUUUGCUCCAGUUUCAAGACUUGAGACAGUUCGGUUACUUAUUUCUCUUGCUGCCCAAAAUAAUUGGAAAAUAUUCCAAAUGGACGUAAAAUCUGCGUUUUUGAAUGGUGUUCUCAAAGAAGAAGUCUAUGUUGAUCAACCACCAGGGUUUGUCAAAAAAGGAGAAGAAGAAAAAGUUUACAAGUUGAAGAAAGCUUUGUACGGGUUGAAGCAAUCACCCAGAGCAUGGUACAGCCGCAUCGAUUCUUAUUUUCAGAAGUGUGGAUUCCAGAAAUCUCCAUAUGAGCAUACUCUCUACAUCAAAGGCAAUUAUCAAGGAAGAUUCAUGGUUGUAAGUCUCUACGUUGAUGAUCUUAUUUUCACAGGAAAUGAUGUGAAGAUGUUGAAAGAAUUUCAGCACUCAAUGAUGGCAGAAUUUAAGAUGACAGAUUUGGGAGAACUUCAUCAUUUUCUUGGCAUUGAAGUUCAUCAAUCCGAGAAAGGAAUUUUUAUUUCACAAGAGAGCUACGCAAAGGAAGUUCUAAAAAAAUUCAUGAUGGAAAAUGCGAAUCCAGUCUCUACUCCAUGCAUUACAGGUCUGAAGUUAUCUAAAGAGGGUGAAGGAAAGCUUGUCAAUUCCACCAUAUUCAGAAGUUUGGUUGGGAAGUUGAUGUAUCUGACUUCGACAAGGCCUGAUAUCGUGUAUGUUGUUAGCUUGGUAAGUAGAUUCAUGGAGAAACCUUACUCCAAUCACUGGGAGGCUGCCAAGAGAAUAUUGAGAUAUGUGAAGGGAACCAUUGAUUAUGGAAUUUUCUAUAAAUCUAAUACAUUAGUUGAUCUCAUUGGUUAUACGGAUAGUGAUUUAGCAGGAAGCAUUGAUGAUAGCAGAAGCACUUCUGGUUAUGUUUUUCACCUUGGUAGUGGUGCAGUUUCAUGGAGUUCAAAGAAACAAUCAAUUGUGGCGCUUUCGACUAUAGAAGCUGAAUAUAUCGCUGCAUCUUAUGCAGGAUGUCAAUUGAUUUGGUUACGUGGAAUUUUGGAAAGUCUUAAGCAGAAGCAAAGCAAGUCAACAAUUUUGUUUUGUGACAAUAGUUCUACUAUUUCGGUCACAAAAGAUCCAAUUCUUCAUAGAAGGACAAAACACAUUCGCAUUCGAUAUCACUUCUUGAGAGAACUAGUGAAUAAUGGUGAUGUUCAAGUUGAAUAUUGCAAGACGGAAGAUCAGAUGGCUGAUAUCUUCACAAAGCCUCUAAGUGGACAAGUCUUCAAGAAAAAUGUUGAAAGGUUGGGAGUUCAAAGCAAGUUUAAUUUAAGGGAGGCAUUGUUGGCACAUAAUUAAAUUAACCUUGCACAAAUAAAUUAUGAAAAGUUAGAAGAGUGAAGAGACUUGAAUAUGAAAAGUGAAAAAACUUGAAUAUGAAUAGUGAAGAGACUUGAAGAUGAAAAGUUAAGAGGCUUGAAUAUGAAAAGAUACACACAUGCAUGAAUAGUCACAACUCCUAGCAUAUAGUGAUAUAGAUGAAUAGUCACUUACAACUCUUAUAUAAAGAGUUAUAUGUGAUGAAGAAUUAUUAACUUUGUGUGCUUGAAAUAAAAGAUUAUUUGAAAGAAUUUUUUCAUACAAAAUUUAUUUCUCUUCUCCAUUAUAUUCUUUAUCAUUUUCUUUGUUUUAUUUCUCCAAAUAUUAAUCAUUCAACUACAGAUAGGUCCAACCAUUCAAGACUUGUCAAAUCCCCUACUGAGGUAGGGAUACCACUAUUAAGGUUAUUAUGAGAAAGGUUGAGCCCUUUCAGUAAGUUAAGCUUCCCAAUAACCUUUGGAAUCUCCCCUUCAAACUGAUUGCUUGAUAGAUCAAUGAUCACCCACAUAGUGAAAAUUUUCACCAAUUCCACGUCUUGUCCUUUCAUAACAAUUCCAAUGGAAUAGGCAUAGAAGUCAUCUCCAUCAUUCACCCCCAUGUACGACACUGUACUACUAACCUUCUCUAGAUUUAUGAUAGCCUUGAAGCUGUUGAUGUAUCUCACUAGUAGGGGUCCAGAAAAAUAAUUACUUGAGAGGUCAAAAAUUUGGAUUUUAGAGAAAAAAGGGCUAGACUUGGAGUUAUUGACACACAGGGAACCAUGCAUUUGAUUUGACUUUAGUACAAGAACUUGUAGCUGUGGAAGACUUCCCAACCAAUGAGGAAAUGUAUCAUUGAUCUUGUUGUUACCAAGAUCUAGUACUUCCAGACCUCUACAAUUAAGGAUGGAUGGUGUCAAAGGCCCUCCUAACAGAUUUCCAUUUAAAUUGAAAUUACUCAAUUGGCAUCCCAUUGCAAAUGUUGGAGGAAUCGUCCCAUAGAACUUGUUCUUCUUCAGAUUCAAGAAUUGAAGGCUGUUGCUCAAAUUUCCAAAACACUGCGGAAUUGUUCCACUCAAGUAAUUGUGGGACAAAUCAAGAAUUUGAAGAUAAGUGGCAUUGCAUAUUAAUGAAGAGACCUCUCCAUUGAAACAAUUAUUUGAGAUCAAAAAGACAGUGAUGGUCGAAGCUGGAAUCGGAAGAUUUCCACUGAUCAAAUUGGAGCUUAAGUCAAGAAC
rnacentral:lncRNA from 1 species